CCUACGGGCGGCUGCAGUGAGGAAUAUUGGUCAAUGGACGCAAGUCUGAACCAGCCAUGCCGCGUGCAGGAUGACGGCCCUAUGAGUUGUAAACUGCUUUUGUACGAGGGUAAACCCCGAUACGUGUAUCGGGUUGAAAGUAUCGGACGAAUAAGCAUCGGCUAACUCCGUGCCAGCAGCCGCGGUAAUACGGAGGAUGCGAGCGUUAUACGGAUUUAUUGGGUUUAAAGGGUGCGUAGGCGGUUUGUUAAGUUAGAGGUGAAAUGGCGGGGCUCAACCCCGAAGCUGCCUCUAAUACUGUUGGACUAGGGAGGAGUGGCGGUAGGCGGAAUGUAUGGUGUAGCGGUGAAAUGCUUAGAGAUGAGACAGAACACGGAUUGCGAAGGCAGCUUACCGAGCUAUAUCGGACGUUGAGGCACGAAGGCGUGGGUAGCAAACAGAAUUAGAUACCCAGGAGUC
rnacentral:rRNA from 1 species